rnacentral:rRNA from 1 species
GAUCAUGGCUCAGGAUGAACGCUAGCUACAGGCUUAACACAUGCAAGUCGAGGGGCAGUAUGUAUCUGGCUUGCCAGAUACGAUGGCGACCGGCGCACUGGUGAGUAACGCGUAUCCGACCUGCCGCACACUCCGGGAUAGCCUUGCGAAAGCAAGUUUAAUACCGGAUGCCGUAAGGACGCCGCAUGGUGUUUUUACGAAAGGGGUUUACCGGUGUGCGAUGGGGAUGCGUCCCAUUAG